CAUGCAUAGAUAACAGUUUUAUUUUCAGUCCUUGUCUUUAAUUUUUCCUUGAAAGGAGGCAAAGGUUGCAUCCUUUCUGGGACUAUAAAAGGCAGCUGUAUUAAUAUGUUUAAUUACUCUUGAAAGCUCUCCGAAAUGAAGAUCUUCCUAAUAAUCUCCGCUCUUUUUGCCACAGGUUGCGUGGCUCAGUUUCCAUGCCUUCCCAGCCCACCCAAAGACCUGCGCGUCGUUGAACUUCACGCCCACUCCGUUGCAAUUGAAUUCGAGGAUCCGGACGACCUCGAUGAUUGCCCAAUCGCGAGCUACCACCCCGAAAUUGAAAAGGUGGUGGUGGCAACCAGAGAGCAGUCCAACGUGGGAGAGUACAUCCCGACAGGCAAAACCCACCACAUGGGUUUUCCUUUACUUGAGGCGAGCACUGUCUACAGGAUCAGCGUGAUCUCCGUCUCCACUUUGGACGUGUUUUCGCAUCCAGCGAUCAUUGAAGUUGAAACUUUGGCAGAACAAAUUUAGAUAUUCUGUGUAAAACAAAUAAAUGUUUCAUCACUA